CCUACGGGAGGCCGCAGUGAGGAAUAUUGGUCAAUGGGCUUAAGCCUGAACCAGCCAAGUCGCGUGAGGGAAGAAUGCCCUACGGGUUGUAAACCUCUUUUGUCAGGGAGCAAUGGGCGCUACGUGUCGCGUGAUCGAGAGUACCUGAAGAAAAAGCAUCGGCUAACUCCGUGCCACAAGCCGCGGUAAUACGGAGGAUGCGAGCGUUAUCCGGAUUUAUUGGGUUUAAAGGGUGCGUAGGCGGAAUGUCAAGUCAGCGGUAAAAUCGCGGGGCUCAACCCCGCUGCGCCGUUGAAACUGGCGGUCUUGAGUGGGCGAGAAGUAUGCGGAAUGCGUGGUGUAGCGGUGAAAUGCAUAGAUAUCACGCAGAACGCCGAUUGCGAAGGCAGCAUACCGGCGCCCAACUGACGCUGAGGCACGAAAGCGUGGGUAUCGAACAGGAUUAGAUACCCGGGUAGUC
rnacentral:rRNA from 1 species